UGCUCACUUGGUGAAAUUGGUAAACACGAUGGAUUUAAAAUUCAUUUUUUACAAAUUAUUGGUUCAAGUCCAGUAGUGAGUAA
rnacentral:tRNA from 1 species